GAUGAACGCUGACAGAAUGCUUAACACAUGCAAGUCUUUGGCGAAGCUGUGCUUGCACAGCCUAGCCAAGGCGGACGGGUGAGUAACGCGUAAGGAACUUGCCCUGCAGUCAGGGAUAACAGACGGAAACGACUGAUAAGACCUGGUAAAGUCAGGCGGACUCAUGUCCAGCCUGAUGAAAAGAGAUGCUGCAGGAGAGCCUUGCGUCCUAUUAGCUUGUUGGUGGGGUAACGGCCCACCAAGGCGAUGAUAGGUAGCCGGCCUGAGAUGGUGGACGGCCACAAGGGGACUGAGAUACGGCCCUUACUCCUACGGGAGGCAGCAGUGGGGAAUAUUGGACAAUGGGGGCAACCCUGAUCCAGCAAUUCUGUGUGCACGAUGAAGGUUUUCGGAUUGUAAAGUGCUUUCAGCAGGGAGGAAAAAAAUGACGGUACCUGCAGAAGAAGCGACGGCUAAAUACGUG
rnacentral:rRNA from 1 species